rnacentral:rRNA from 1 species
UACGUAGGGUGCGAGCGUUAAUCGGAAUUACUGGGCGUAAAGCGCGCGCAGGCGGUCUUCCAAGUCAGUGGUGAAAGCCCGGAGCUCAACUCCGGAACUGCCAUUGAAACUGUUAGACUUGAGGACGAGAGAGGUGAGUGGAAUUCCCAGUGUAGAGGUGAAAUUCGUAGAUAUUGGGAAGAACACCGGUGGCGAAGGCGGCUCACUGGCUCGUAUCUGACGCUCAGGCGCGACAGCGUGGGGGAUCAAACAGG